GAUGAACGCUAGCGGGAGGCCUAACACAUGCAAGCCGAGCGGUAUUUGUCUUUCGGGACAGAGAGAGCGGCGUACGGGUGCGGAACACGUGUGCAACCUGCCUUUAUCUGGGGGAUAGCCUUUCGAAGGGAAGAUUAAUACCCCAUAAUAUAAUGAAUGGCAUCAUUUAUUAUUGAAAACUCCGGUGGAUAGAGAUGGGCACGCGCAAGAUUAGAUAGUUGGUGAGGUAACGGCUCACCAAGUCGAUGAUCUUUAGGGGGCCUGAGAGGGUGAUCCCCCACACUGGUACUGAGACACGGACCAGACUCCUACGGGAGGCAGCAGUGAGGAAUAUUGGACAAUGGGUUAGCGCCUGAUCCAGCCAUCCCGCGUGAAGGACGACGGCCCUAUGGGUUGUAAACUUCUUUUGUACAGGGAUAAACCUACUCUCGUGAGAGUAGCUGAAGGUACUGUACGAAUAAGCACCGGCUAACUCCGUGCCAGCCGCCGCAGUAA
rnacentral:rRNA from 1 species